rnacentral:lncRNA from 1 species
GGGAAGUAAGUAUAGAUGAAAACUGGGCAUCUCUGAUGAAUGAAUGUUGAAUAGUGGGGUACAAAACCCACCAACAGAAGAUCAUACCGACUCUUCUGGCACAAACAAAAAGGCUUGGGGGUGUCGAGAAAGAUAGAUUGGGAGCGUAAUGCCUGUUUUCUUUGUUCUCACCAUUCUUUAUGCUCUGUUAAAGCUGCUAGCUAGAUAUUUAGACUUGGACAGAUAAUUAGAAAAACUCCUGCUUGAACGUAAGUUCUUGUUCUUCGAUCUCAAACCAGAGAGUUGUACAUUAAAAAGAAAAAACUUGCGGCAUUGAUUAUUUAUUGAUUUAUUUUGGCAUUUUAGUUAUUGUUUAGCAAGAAGAAUUUUGAGAUGUGUUGUGAUGGAAAUGAUGGAGCUAUUUAUGUUGCCAUUCUUAAUUAUGAUAUCAUUUUAUCCUUUUCUUUCUCUUAUUGUCAUUGAAGGGACCAUGUUUAUAACUUUAUUAUAACCAAAGUUGGACCGCAUGCGAGCACAGCUCUGUCUGUCUUUUGCCAAUGAGUUUUUACUCUGUAUCACUUGUAUAUUUUAUGCAAAUGACAAAAUCAGUUUAGUGAAUUCAUGGUUACUAUGAAUUCCAAGAAUUUGCUAGAAUGUUGGUAUUCUCAACUUAAGCGUUUUUUUUUUCCCAGGCGGAAUAAAGAAAGAGCUUGCCAGUGCUAGGAAGAAGGUCCCCAAAUUGUUUCUUGUAUCAUCUCUUGUUCUUAAUAUUAUAUAGUUCCUUCCUCCUGCUUCUAAAGGUUUUCUUCUGUUGAAAAUUCUGCAGGUUGCUGAUAGGCAUGAUCUGGAGAAAAAGGCCUAUGCUAGAAUGUUUCAGUAGUGUUCUGCCGGUAACCUGACAUGGUAGAUACCUUUGUGUUCUCUCCAUGAUAAGUUAUUUUGAGCUGAACUUGCCAUUUCUUGCUUUGUAAUACAGACUACCUGUUGCUUGGAUAGUUCACUUUUGAUUUCUCACAUGUUUGGUUAUAAUC